GACGAACGCUGGCGGCGUGCUUAACACAUGCAAGUCGAACGGAAAGGCCCUGCUUUUGUGGGGUGCUCGAGUGGCGAACGGGUGAGUAACACGUGAGUAACCUGCCCUUGACUUUGGGAUAACUUCAGGAAACUGGGGCUAAUACCGGAUAGGAGCUCCUGCUGCAUGGUGGGGGUUGGAAAGUUUCGGCGGUUGGGGAUGGACUCGCGGCUUAUCAGCUUGUUGGUGGGGUAGUGGCUUACCAAGGCUUUGACGGGUAGCCGGCCUGAGAGGGUGACCGGCCACAUUGGGACUGAGAUACGGCCCAGACUCCUACGGGAGGCAGCAGUGGGGAAUAUUGCACAAUGGGCGGAAGCCUGAUGCAGCAACGCCGCGUGCGGGAUUACGGCCUUCGGGUUGUAAACCGCUUUCGCCUGUGACGAAGCGUGAGUGACGGUAAUGGGUAAAGAAGCACCGGCUAACUACGUGCCAGCAGCCGCGGUGAUACGUAGGGUGCGAGCGUUGUCCGGAUUUAUUGGGCGUAAAGGGCUCGUAGGUGGUUGAUCGCGUCGGAAGUGUAAUCUUGGGGCUUAACCCUGAGCGUGCUUUCGAUACGGGUUGACUUGAGGAAGGUAGGGGAGAAUGGAAUUCCUGGUGGAGCGGUGGAAUGCGCAGAUAUCAGGAGGAACACCAGUGGCGAAGGCGGUUCUCUGGGCCUUUCCUGACGCUGAGGAGCGAAAGCGUGGGGAGCGAACAGGCUUAGAUACCCUGGUAGUCCACGCUGUAAACGGUGGGUACUAGGUGUGGGGUCCAUUCCACGGGUUCCGUGCCGUAGCUAACGCUUUAAGUACCCCGCCUGGGGAGUACGGCCGCAAGGCUAAAACUCAAAGGAAUUGACGGGGCCCCGCACAAGCGGCGGAGCAUGCGGAUUAAUUCGAUGCAACGCGUAGAACCUUACCUGGGUUUGACAUGGAUCGGGAGUGCUCAGAGAUGGGUGUGCCUCUUUUGGGGUCGGUUCACAGGUGGUGCAUGGCUGUCGUCAGCUCGUGUCGUGAGAUGUUGGGUUAAGUCCCGCAACGAGCGCAACCCUUGUUCACUGUUGCCAGCACGUUAUGGUGGGGACUCAGUGGAGACCGCCGGGGUCGACUCGGAGGAAGGUGGGGAUGACGUCAAGUCAUCAUGCCCCUUAUGUCCAGGGCUUCACGCAUGCUACAAUGGCUGGUACAGAGAGUGGCGAGCCUGUGAGGGUGAGCGAAUCUCGGAAAGCCGGUCUCAGUUCGGAUUGGGGUCUGCAACUCGACCUCAUGAAGUCGGAGUCGCUAGUAAUCGCAGAUCAGCAACGCUGCGGUGAAUACGUUCCCGGG
rnacentral:rRNA from 1 species